rnacentral:lncRNA from 1 species
CAAUGUAGAAUACAACUAACUCUCUUAAUUGAAGUUCUGAUUUUCACAUCAAUAUAAAAACUAGUUAAUCAGUAUGCUAUUGCUAUAUAGAACUACAAACUCUCAAUCAAAUCACAAUUUAAGAACUUUAAGAAAUUUGUUAUUAAUUGUUAAACUUUUAAUAACCUUUUACAUAGAAUAUUGAAAUAUAUAGUUAGUGUUGGAGGAUAAUUUGCAC